CCUGCUGAAGGCGCAGGGCAUUACCCCGGACGCCAAGACGGUCCAGAAGCUGGGUCAGAUCUCGCUGACCUCGGCCGGCGGCGGCACCGGCACCAGCGGCAACGCCAUCAUCGACCGCUUCGACGACAACCUGUCGGCGCCGAAGGUCUUCUGCUACGUGUCGAGCUGGGCGCGCGACCGGCCUGGCCGCGGCCGGUUCUCGCCGGCAGACCUGGACCCUGCCCUCUGCACGCACGUGGUCUGGGCCUUCGGGUCGAUCCGCCAGGGCAAGAUCGAGCUGCCGUCGCCGGACCAGGACUCCAGGGACGAGGACAGCGACUACCAGCAGCUGCUGCGCCUGCGGGA